rnacentral:rRNA from 1 species
UACGUAGGGGGCAAGCGUUGUCCGGAAUCAUUGGGCGUAAAGAGCUCGUAGGCGGUUUGUCACGUCUGCUGUGAAAACUCGGGGCUUAACCCCGAGCUUGCAGUGGAUACGGGCAGACUAGAGGUAGGUAGGGGAGAAUGGAAUUCCCGGUGUAGCGGUGAAAUGCGCAGAUAUCGGGAGGAACACCGGUGGCGAAGGCGGUUCUCUGGGCCUUACCUGACGCUGAGGAGCGAAAGCGUGGGGAGCGAACAGG